UACGAAGGGGGCUAGCGUUACUCGGAAUCACUGGGCGUAAAGCGCACGUAGGCGGAUCUUUAAGUCAGGGGUGAAAUCCCAAGGCUCAACCUUGGAACUGCCUUUGAUACUGGGGAUCUCGAGUCCGGAAGAGGUUGGUGGAACUGCGAGUGUAGAGGUGAAAUUCGUAGAUAUUCGCAAGAACACCAGUGGCGAAGGCGGCCAACUGGUCCGGUACUGACGCUGAGGUGCGAAAGCGUGGGGAGCAAACAGG
rnacentral:rRNA from 1 species